GCACUCGCGAGCUCUCUUGACCGAAGUAGAGUGAUCGAACUUCUCUGCGAGUACACCGAGAUUACUUGGAAGAAAUUAAUUGUUCUCUGAAAUUGCAAUAUUUGCUUGAUAUCUUGGAUAAAUAAUUGUUAUUCUUAAAUUAAAUUUGAACAGAUAUUAAUUCAAUUUAUAUUUAAGAAUUUACACAGAGCAGGCCAACAAAAACUGUCUUUUCAGAAAUUCAUUAUUUAAAAAAUUUUUGGUGUUGGAAUUUCAACUCGAUUUUCGAUCGGAAAUAUUACAGGAAAGAUCCAAAGGAUCCUUGUAUAACUACAGGUAAUUAUCCUGUAGUCUUGGAUCACCACAAAGGAUCUUAAGGGACGCCUUUGAUUGAAUAGGGUUUGGCGUGUACACACGAAGGAAGGCGCAAGAUUGCAACGGGGAUUAAAAUAUUUCAAAAGGCUAGGGUGGCCAGGUUUUCGGCCAAACGCAAGAGUAAUGGUUCUUUUAAAUUUCUAAGGUGACCCAGAUACACGCGGGCCGAGAGACAGAGGGUGUGUACACGAGCCACUCCUGUGAUCUUGCUUGAAGCAAGCGUCGUAAAGAUAAAAAAAAAGCCUCCUCUUUCUCUUUAACGAUUCUUUCUUCUGCGGUAUUCAUAUUAAUGGUCGUUGGCGUCUUCCAAAGGGUGAUCACGUUUCUACUAUAGCUGUAUUUCAACCUCGAUGUCGGCGGGGACCAUAAUCGUUUCAAGUGACCAUGGUAAUUAUGCGCGAACCGUUUUCAAAGCGUCUUUCCGGAAUUGGGUCGAGUUUAUUCCGUUUCGAGGGACGGAUUUUAAAUAAAGAAUCUUGAGAAUAUCGGGAAUUUGAUUAUGUAAAAAGUAUCGGACGAGGAAGAAUGUAUAUAGUAUUAUAGAAUUGUUAAAUAUAUAUUCGCGGGAGAAAACACUUUAUCGAUUUAAGAUAACUUUUCAUUUAAUUGAAAAAGAAUCUUAAUAGAUAUAUUAUUAGUCGUGAAAAGUAAAAAAAGGAGCUAUCUCGUAAUAUACGAACCGUUAAAGCUUGAUCAAACUCUAUUAAAAUUAGAAAAACUUUGAACCACUGCAAUUCCGAAAAUAGUGACUUCCGGUCAAUGAAUAAAAGAUCGUUGGAAGCGUGAAAGUUUACCCUUUAAAACGAUUCUUCGUUCGUCACGAUACGACUUCCGGUUCUCGAGAUAUCGUCGUGUAAAGAAAAGGUAAUUUUCGAUCAUUGAUCUUGAAUCCGAUUAAAUCCCGUUAUUGAAAUUAGGAAAAGUUCGAAUCGCUGUAACUUCGAAAAUAAUAACUUUCGAGCAACGAAUAAAAGAUCGUUAGAAGCGUGAAAUCUUGCUCUUUAAAACGGUUUUUCAUUCGUUUUCAUACGUCUUCCGGUUCCCGAGAUAUCGUCGUCUAAAGAAAACCGUAAUUUUUAAUCGUUCAUUAUAUCGCUUACACCUAUUCUUACCGACUCUUAUUCCAAGCUUCAGACAAGCGGCAUAGAAACGAUUUGUAGAAAAAUAUAAUUAUUUUGUCUUUUUUCUUGAAGUAUAUAUACAAAUUAAUCAACGUGACUUUUAUUUUUUAUACAUUUUAUACAUUCUUAUAUUAAUAAUCCGAGAGGAAGGGAAAAAAUUAGAAAAAGUAAAAGAAUCAAACUAUAAAGAUUUGCGUUUGAAAACAUAUUUCAAUAUUUACGCGAGUGUUUACUUGGACAAUCGUAGCGUUGGUCAUUUUUCCUUCGCGCAACUCCACCCUAUAUUUACAAGAGUUCGCGCUUUGUCAUUGUUUCCCUCGACUCGUAUUUCUCCAUUCCACCAGCCUCUUUCUUUUCUUUUUUUUUUUUUUUUUUUCCUGUUGCGAAAACCAACAGGGAAUUGGAACAAUGAGCUCGUUUAUAGUGACGAUUUAAUUUCGUUAAUUAACCGGGCACUUUGCUUCGAAGCGAAAACAAUUAUGAUAUAGAAAACUGAAAAUGUGAUUCGUAUAAAAAAUUUUUAACCUCCAUUUAGAAAUAACAACAUAAUUUCUUGUUUUUCUCAAACUUGUUCGUCGCAACAAUAAUAAUUUUAACGUGAUGCAAUAUUUCUAGGAAAAUAUGAACGUUCCUCGUUAAAUUGGAAUAACAGUGCAAUUCUAACUUGUGCGAUUUAUUCUUAUAUUCGUUUCAUUGAAAGCUAAUGGAAAAAUGUUAUGGAUUUACGCGUAUUUUCUGAAUAGAAGAAAAAAUAAAUCGUUUCUAAUAAAAGAACGAAGAUAAAAAUAAAAAUAAAUGGGAAAUAUUGUAUUGCAAAUUUGUUUGAAUUAUUCAUAUCUGCAUCACGAAAUGUUGUAAUUUCUUUCUUCGUUUUUCUCACAGUCACGAUCGUUUGAAGUAUACCAAUUGCAUCAUAUUCCCACAUUUAUUUCUCUGUUACACAAAAAUAGAUAACCUUCACAUCGAUACAAAACGUUUCAUGUAUAUAGAUUAUAAUUAAUUCCACAAACGUAGUGUGAUAAAAAUUUGUCGAAACAAAAUUCUGAAAUUUCUUACGGCACUCGAACCUAAAAUUUUAUAAAAUUCGUUAAAAACUCCAACAAUCGUGAUCGCCCACAGGAUGAAGCAACGUUUCUCAAGCAACUAUCGAUAUUAAUCGAAACGCAUUAAGGGAUACGAUAGCACGGAAGCAGGGAUCCAUUGUUGCUCGACGUUACAUCUCGAUAUCUGCUCGUCCUUGCAAAUACCGAGCAAAUCCAUCAAGAUUCUCGUCGAAAGCAUCGACACGAGGCGAGAGAGAGAGAGAGAGAGGGAUAUUGGGAAGUAAUGCUGGCCAAGUAAAACGAAAGAUAUAUUCGACAAUGAGAAAUAAUGGAAGAUGGAUAAAGCAUCGUGUCCAAUAAUAAUUCAAUUAGCAAUGAAGAUUCUCUCAAGUUUGUAAUUUUGAAAAAAAUUUUUUAAACAAUCCGCCCAACUCGAGAUAUUCAAACUAAAUUUCGACAAGUUUCAAUUGAUAUUAGUCUGAUAUUAUUUCUUACUUUCAAAUAUUAAAUCGAUAUACUCGACCAUUUCCAAACGAAUCUUACAACGUUUUGGAUCAAAGUCUUCUAAUUUCCAUGAUGAAUAAUUUGAUGGUAUUUCACGUCGAAGGAUAUCCUUUAAAAAAGGAGGGGGGGAGGGCUCGAUUAAUGAAAAUUAAGAUUAAUGAAAUAAAAUUGAUUUCGUCAAGGAAGAAGAGUGGAAACGAAAAGAAGGAACGAAAGAUAAAGGAAGGGGGAAAUGAUUAAGAGCCAUUACCUGUUCCCCCCUCGAAAACGUUUUUCACCAAUCCAAAACCUUUCGAUAUUAAACCUGGUUAUCAAUUAUUAUUCCGUCUGCAGAGCGUUCGUUCAUUUGUUAAUCAAUUUCCCCUUUCGAUUAAGCGUACUGGAAAUUGCGAUCGAGGGUCAAGGGAUUAAUUCCACGGAAUUCUAAAAUAACGAUUCCUCUCGCAGACGUUAUUUUCAUGCAAAUGUCGAGGCGAAAGAGAGAGAGAGGGGGGAAGUGGCCGAUCCCCUGGCUCGAUUUUUGCUCGCUUUUCAUACGCAUCAUCAAACCUUUAUUCCUCCACUUUUGUAUUUUGUUGUAUAUUUUAUCGAGUUAGAAAAUGGGUGACCGGAAUCAAAGAAACCGGGAUAAAAAACUUUUUUCCUUCCUGUUUGGCGCGAAAAAUUCGUUGUUUUGAAAAAUUCGGGGGGAACUAUUGUGACCGUUAAUCAAAAUAGUCUCUUGUUUUUCGACGUGUAUAAUAUAAAUAAAUAUCGUUGCCAAUUUUUGUUAUAAAAAUCUCAAUUGACAAAUUCUACUUAAUCAACGCAUUCACAGUUGUAUGAGUUAGUUGCGAAAUCAAAUUAAAAAAAAAAAGAAAAAAAUAACCGUUGUAAAUUUUAAUUGAUAAUUUUCAAAAUGAUCCGAUUUCAAGUUGGACGAGUACUCUCGAUCGUUUUAGAUCGAUAAACGUGUCAAUCGCUACGUUUCUUUUUCUUUUUUACGAAAAAUAAAUUGAUUCAAGUAAGUAAUACAGAUGUAGAUUUGUUAGAUAUCGUUUUCUUCUAUGAUAUAAUUUUUAUUUAACACGAUUCUUUAUGCUCAUAUAAAAUAUCGUUGAAUUGUAUUCGCGAAUGUAAUCGCAUCUUCGAGCGAGAAAGGAUGCAAUGGCGGUUAAUCAAAACAGGAGGGAUUAACUUUGCAGGGAAGAAAGGCGUCGAUUCCACCUCGACUCGUUCAAUAAAAAUUCCUGGUCAACCAAUUCCAACUAUUGUUCUUCAUCCUACCUCCCCCUCCCUCUGAUUGGGGAGGGGGACGGUUGAAACUCUUGUCCAAGUUUUUCGGCCGUGGACAGGAGAAGCGAUUACGAAUCGAACGACUGCCGCCACGGGAGGAUUAAGUUUUCGUAUUUUAUUUCGUAUCAUAGAUCGUUGGACGAUCGAAUUAAAAAAGAAUCACUUUUUCCUCCCUUCUUUGCCGGAUAAUGCAUCGAUUUCGAUUUAUUUAACUUUUAAUCGCCUCGUUUUAAUUUUGAUGCUGGGGAAUAGCGUUGAUAUAUUUAAAUAUGCCGCGCGUAGUAUUUUUAAUUGCUUGCAAAAAAAAGGAGGAGGAGGAAAGAAAUAUGAAAUAAAGAAAUAUAGAUAAUUUUGACAAUUUUAAGAAUAAUUCUAAAGUGGGAAUAAUUUAAAUGUUCGACUCGAACGACAGAUCCUCUGUGCUGAAGAAUACAAGAAAUAAAGAGAGAGAGAAAA